rnacentral:rRNA from 1 species
UGAGCUGUGAUGGGGAGAAGACAUUGUGUCUUCGAGUCGUUGAUUUCACACUGCCGAGAAAAGCCUCUAGAUAGAAAAUAGGUGCCCGUACCGCAAACCGACACAGGUAGUCAAGAUGAGAAUUCUAAGGUGAGCGAGCGAACUCUCGUUAAGGAACUCGGCAAAAUGACCCCGUAACUUCGGGAGAAGGGGUGCUCUUUAGGGUUAACGCCCAGAAGAGCCGCAGUGAAUAGGCCCAAGCGACUGUUUAUCAAAAACACAGGUCUCUGCUAAACCGUAAGGUGAUGUAUAGGGGCUGACGCCUGCCCGGUGCUGGAAGGUUAAGAGGAGUGGUUAGCUUCUGCGAAGCUACGAAUCGAAGCCCCAGUAAACGGCGGCCGUAACUAUAACGGUCCUAAGGUAGCGAAAUUCCUUGUCGGGUAAGUUCCGACCCGCACGAAAGGCGUAACGAUUUGG